rnacentral:rRNA from 1 species
GACGAACGCUGGCGGCGUGCCUAAUACAUGCAAGUAGAACGCUGAAGGAGGAGCUUGCUUCUCUGGAUGAGUUGCGAACGGGUGAGUAACGCGUAGGUAACCUGCCUGGUAGCGGGGGAUAACUAUUGGAAACGAUAGCUAAUACCGCAUAAGAGUAGAUGUUGCAUGACAUUUGCUUAAAAGGUGCAAUUGCAUCACUACCAGAUGGACCUGCGUUGUAUUAGCUAGUUGGUGGGGUAACGGCUCACCAAGGCGACGAUACAUAGCCGACCUGAGAGGGUGAUCGGCCACACUGGGACUGAGACACGGCCCAGACUCCUACGGGAGGCAGCAGUAGGGAAUCUUCGGCAAUGACGGAAGUCUGACCGAGCAACGCCGCGUGAGUGAAGAAGGUUUUCGGAUCGUAAAGCUCUGUUGUAAGAGAAGAACGAGUGUGAGAGUGGAAAGUUCACACUGUGACGGUAUCUUACCAGAAAGGGACGGCUAACUACGUG